CGACCGGCGCACGGGUGAGUAACACGUAUGCAACCUACCUUUGACAGGGGGAUAACAUCGAGAAAUUGGUACUAAUACCCCAUAACAUCACCGGAGGCAUCUUCGGUGGUUGAAAACUCAGGUGGUCAGAGAUGGACAUGCGUUGUAUUAGCUAGUUGGUGAGGUAACGGCUCACCAAGGCGACGAUACAUAGGGGGACUGAGAGGUCAACCCCCCACAUUGGUACUGAGACACGGACCAAACUCCUACGGGAGGCAGCAG
rnacentral:rRNA from 1 species